rnacentral:lncRNA from 1 species
UGCAUUAAUUCAUAACACAAACAUGACCAUAUGCCAUGCCCUUUUUUUAAAUGUGCUUCUUACCGUUCCCUUUACAUUCCAGUCAACUUGCCAAUAUCUAGCAUCAACAGGUUCGUAGACGAAAUCUUCAUGACAUUAGCCGGCCAGCGCGCGCGGGCGAGCGUCUCAGUGCGCGCUUUCUGCUACUCACCGAACAUCGCAGCCCCGACGCCGUAGCAGUAAUCUUCCUCGCGGAAGUGCUUGCUACACGCCCGAGUUGUAGCCGAUGGCAUGCUUGCCGGUUCGAAGUUUUGCGAUCCAAGCUUCACGCAGCUUCUUGUCCUGCGGGUACGUGUGAAGGCUGGCACCGGUCUCCGUUGCGUACGCAUCCGGCACUGCGGCCC